AAUAAAGGUUUUCGAGCGUACGCGUUUGUUCCUUUUUCUUUAAACUCUUUCGGCGUGACACCUGCGUGGUGUUUCCGAGAGGAUGUUUGAAUGAUCAGUUCGAGUGUCGCGUUGAAUGUUCGAGGAGUGCCUAAGUAAUAAGCAUAGCGUGUAUUGUUGAGUGAUUAGUUUAGAAUGAAAGCGAUUCGGUUUGGAAGAAAAAAGAAUAAUUCCGGAUUAGAAUGCGUCAGGAUGCGUGUUUUUGGUAUGAAAAAUCAUCAGUUCAUCAUCAGUUCAUAAGCGAAUGGUCGAAGACCAUCUCUGUUAAUAAAGUACGGAAAAGUUAAAGGUGGAAAAUUAAAAUUUCUAUUUUCCCUGUACGCGUCCUUAUCCCAUAAACUGAACAGUUGAAUUACGUGACGUGCACAGUGCAAUGCGCAGUGUCAUACCUAGUCCAGAAAACUGUAUGCAGUUACCGAUAGUUUCAUGUUUUCAUAGACGUUGUAAGUAAUCUGGCCAAAACCGCAACAACGUGCGACUAAUACUACAAGCGGUUCAAGUGGAUAAUCGUGAAACUAUAAUUGCAUGGCGGAACAUCGUUGACAGGCAUCGGUGUACACAAUCGUAGUUUCGUUCCUAUUUCUUCCAGAAAUGAUAAAUUGACAAAAAAUGGACCAAACCGACAUCGUACCAUUACAGUAAUGUCGGGCUGUUAUCGUUUUCGCCAAACAAAGGAGGAGCUAACCGCUUAGAGUUGGAGUUUGGACCGAUCGAACUUGGUGUACCAUUCCGAGCCUGCUAUAGUCGUAUUAUAGACUUAAGUCUCACCUUCUGUGGAUGGGUCACAUCAGAUAUAAUAGUUGAAAUAGGACAAAAUAUGCACCGGCUUGAAACUUUAAAUCUCAACGGAUGUACUUAUGUAUAGAAGGAUAUAGCAAUAUAAGUAAACCAACGUUACAAUGUGCAGCAACCACCGUACACAAUAG